rnacentral:rRNA from 1 species
AGAGUUGAUCCUGGCUUAGGAUGAACGCUAGCGAUAGGCCUAACACAUGCAAGUCGAGGGGCAUCACAUGAAGCAGCAAUGCGGAUGGUGGCGACCGGCGCACGGGUGAGUAACGCGUAUGCAAUCUACCUACAACAGGGGAAUAACCCGUUGAAAGACGGACUAAUGCCCCAUAAUACAGGGGUCCCGCAUGGGAAUAUUUGUUAAAGAUUUAUCGGUUGUAGAUGAGCAUGCGUUCCAUUAGCUGGUUGGUGAGGUAACGGCCCACCAAGGCAACGAUGAUAGGGGAACUGAGAGGUUUAUCCCCCACACUGGUACUGAGACACGGACCAGACUCCUACGGGAGGCAGCAGUGAGGAAUAUUGGUCAAUGGACGCAAGUCUGAACCAGACCCACGUCGCGUGAAGGAAGACCGGCCCGUACGGGUUAGUAAACUUUCUUUGUAAGGGAAUAAAGUGUAGUACGCGUACUUAUUUGCAUGUACCUUACGAAUAAGGAUCGGCUAACUCCGUGCCAGCAGCUGC